rnacentral:lncRNA from 1 species
UGACAGAAAUCUGGUCCCACCAAGCAGAGUUAGUACGGAAAUACGAAAAAAAAAAAAAAAAAAAAAAAGAAAGGAAAGGGAAUUUUAAAAAGCUAAUGGAACAAUGGGGCGGUGAGCCUGAGUCCUGGAGACAUUAGCCGGGGAAUCACUGAGCGGACGGCUGCUAGGACCCGCGUGUCGUAGGGGGGCGGGGGGGAGGGGCGGCCCGCUGCGCCCCUCUUUCACCCCGGAGGCGAGGACGCCCGCCCUCGUGUCAGAGGCUGACGCCGUGGGCUUGACAAAGAGAAGUAGUAGGGUGAUGUCAACAGUGAUUAACUUGACCCUACAAGGCUGACAACCAGCGAGAUUAAAGGUCCACACCAUAGAAGGAAGUGAGACAGCUCGUUUCCUACUGUAUGCUGCCUACUACACUUAGAAAUACCAUUUUGGUGUACAUCCUAAUGGUCAUGUUACGAGCUCUGCUACAUGUUCCCACGAACACAGUGCCACUCUACGUAUCUCCCCACUACUGAUGAAUGGGCUGAGACAUGCUGAAACCAGGAACGACAGUCCUUUUAUGAGAGAACUCCAGCAAGGACUGUGGUUCAAUUGAAGGAGACUAAUUCAAGCUCUCGGCAUUCAUAUUUGUGAUGAUGAAUAAGACUUCAGAGAAUUAUGAAGUUGAAACCACAACGUGGAAGACACCUGGGGUUGACAAACGAGUCAUUGGAGACGCGCUUCCUAGGAGAGCUGUGUGACCAGGAACACCUAGAGUAGUGUAUUUGCUUUGUUAAAGAGUGACUUGUAUGAGAGAGAAAUCUAUUUUC